UACUGAAGCGGUGGUUUAGUGUAGCCUGGGAGUCUCGCUGAUUUUGGACCUUUAUAUCACACUUAAAAUGGCAGCUGUUAGUCCACCACACACUCAAUGGGGACCUGGUACCACAUGUAUAGCUAAAUAUAACUUCCCAGGCUCAGCAUCUCAUGACUUACCACUUAGAAGAGGUGACAAAAUAAUUAUUGUCAAAAAAUCCAAGGCAAGUUUUAAAUAAUUU